GGCCACAUCACGUUGGAACAGCGGUUCCCGUACAAUCACCGAUGUUAAGCAACGUCGAGCCUGGUCAGUACCUAGAAUGGUGACAGCUUGGGAAUAGUAGAUGCUGUAAG